rnacentral:rRNA from 1 species
UACGUAGGGUGCAAGCGUUGUCCGGAAUUAUUGGGCGUAAAGAGCUCGUAGGCGGCUUGUCGCGUCGACUGUGAAAUCCCGGGGCUUAACUUCGGGCGUGCAGUCGAUACGGGCUGGCUUGAGUGCGGUAGGGGAGACUGGAAUUCCUGGUGUAGCGGUGAAAUGCGCAGAUAUCAGGAGGAGCACCGAUGGCGAAGGCAGGUCUCUGGGCCACUACUGACGCUGAGAAGCGAAAGCGUGGGGAGCGAACAGG